GCAUGCAUAAAUUCUUAUUACCUGACAGCUGAUGGUGAGCACAGAGUUGCAAACUUGUCUCCCUUCCCUGCAAACUUCAGUGCCAUUCAAUUAACCAAAUCAGUGUGUUGCUCUUUUUUUCCUAUUUUUUCUUCUUUCUUGAUCGUGCUCAUACUGUUGUGGAUUGCUUACCGAACUGUGUAUUAGUAUUAAUUAGUAAUGCACAGUUCUGGAUACACUUCAUUAAGUAGGAAUAAUGACAUUUCACAAACAUGGUCUAAGCUCCAGGUGAGCUCCAUGCAAGAUUAAAGUUACUGCCCCCAAACUGAUUUUAUGCCUCUUGAAACAUCUUACAUGAUUAUAUUAUUAAAAAAGUAUGUUGGUUCAGUGACGUUGACAUGGUGUCCCAAGUAUCACUCAGUCAAUGUAUCUCUGUUAAACUUGGUCCUUGUGACAACAGAUGCUUCAACUCGUACUUCACUGCUCCCAAACAUGAAUGUUGCUUAUAUUGCUCAGCUUUCUAAUUGUUGGUUGGUUAUUUGGCAUGAUAGUUGAUGGCUUGAUGCCCUAUCAGCAGCAUGAAAGUUUUCGCAUGGAUUAAUCAGUUGAGAAACACGAAAAGGACACAGCUAAAUGCUAUAUGAGGCAGGUGGCUUAUCCCUGUUAGUUUUCCGUUUUGCUAUUUAAAACCAAUAAUACAUAUUAGUUAACUUAAGGGUAAGCUGAUUGAUGAAUGCACUUCAUGAAAAUGGCAUUAUUGUUGUUGAGAGUGGGCAAGCUGUGCAUGCAACAAUGACAGGGAAAUGAGUGUGUGUUUCUCCUAAGGGAACUACCGAAUCUAUAGUUUAUGGGUUCCCAGAUCCCUCAUUAGUCCUUGUGUUGGUUGUAUUUAGUUAAAUAAUUGCAAAAUAAAUAGGCGCCUAAAGUCUUGCCUUUAUCACUGUAUGCAAUGAAUUAAUAUUAUGACCGGUUCAUGGCGCCUGCGAUUCUUUUUCAUUCUACUUAUAAAAGUAGUUACAUAUGUUGGGUGGCAGAGGUAGAACAAAUAGCUAAAUUUGAUCUUAUAUAGUGUGAUAAUUUAUCCAGUACGCCGUCCAAGACAAGACAGGCCCAAGAAGAAACUUCAUUACAACUAAACCAUUCUUUCACAGAGAAAAAAAAUCUUGAAAGAAUUAGAGCAAAAGAAAAACACUUUAGGUCGAAAACAUAAACACGCAGGUCUUUUUUACUUGAUAUAUCGACCAUCCGAGAAAGAUCAGACAUACAAUUUGGACACCAUAAGAUAAAGCUGCAUAUUGGUUUGCAUCUGUUCUUUACUUCUUAAUAAUGUUACUGACAUGUUUUUAUGAGAAAAUACCACUUACAGCUGAUGGCAUGGCAUCCAAACAAUAUUGCCUCGGUUUUACCUCUGCGCCGGACCGUGCUGUCAUUGAACAUUGGCUAAAUUUCCAAGUGUGAUCUUGUUUCUCUAGGCCUACAAGGUGUUCGAUAAAAUUCCAAGGAUGUUUGGGGAGGAUUGAUCUCUGGAACGGUGGUGCAGUUGGUGUGAGUCAAGGAAGGGCAGGGGUGAGAGCGUCCCAGUGACCGCCACCCAGCGACGCCGGUGGCGAGCACCUCGAGCCAGG